GAACGAGAAAGUGGAGCAAUCCAUGAGUACAGUGGCGACCGGGUGAGUAACACGUGACCAACCUGCCCUCGAGUGGGGAAUAACCCCGGGAAACCGGGGCUAAUACCGCAUAACAUCGCAAGAUCAAAGGAGCAAUCCGCUUGAGGAGGGGGUCGCGGCUGAUUAGCUAGUUGGUAGGGUAAUGGCCUACCAAGGCUGAGAUCGGUAUCCGGCCUGAGAGGGCGCACGGACACACUGGAACUGAAACACGGUCCAGACUCCUACGGGAGGCAGCAGUGGGGAAUUUUGCGCAAUGGGGGAAACCCUGACGCAGCAACGCCGCGUGGAGGAUGAAGUCCCUUGGGACGUAAACUCCUUUCGACCCGGAAGAUACUGACGG
rnacentral:rRNA from 1 species